GAAUCUUGCGCAAUGGGCGAAAGCCUGACGCAGCCAUGCCGCGUGAAUGAUGAAGGUCUUAGGAUUGUAAAAUUCUUUCACCGGGGACGAUAAUGACGGUACCCGGAGCAGAAGCCCCGGCUAACUUCGUGCCAGCAGCCGCGGUAAUACGAAGGGGGCUAGCGCUGCUCGGAAUUACUGGGCGUAAAGGGCGCGUAGGCGGACAUUUAAGUCAGGGGUGAAAUCCCAGAGCUCAACUCUGGAACUGCCUUUGAUACUGGGUGUCUUGAGUGCGAGAGAGGUAUGUGGAACUCCGAGUGUAGAGGUGAAAUUCGUAGAUAUUCGGAAGAACACCAGUGGCGAAGGCGACAUACUGGCUCAUUACUGACGCUGAGGCGCGAAAGCGUGGGGAGCAAACAGG
rnacentral:rRNA from 1 species